rnacentral:rRNA from 1 species
GAUGAACGCUAGCUACAGGCUUAACACAUGCAAGUCGAGGGGAAACGACAUCGAAAGCUUGCUUUUGAUGGGCGUCGACCGGCGCACGGGUGAGUAACGCGUAUCCAACCUGCCCACCACUUGGGGAUAACCUAGAGAAAGUAAGACUAAUACCCAAUGACGUCUCUAGAAGACAUCUGAAAGUGAUUAAAGAUUUAUCGGUGAUGGACGGAGAUGCGUCUGAUGAGCUUGGUGGCGGGGUAACGGCCCACCAAGGCGACGAUCAGUAGGGGGUCUGAGAGGAAGGUCCCCCACAUUGGAACUGAGACACGGUCCAAACUCCUACGGGAGGCAGCAGUGAGGAAUAUUGGUCAAUGGGCGAGAGCCUGAACCAGCCAAGUAGCGUGCAGGAUGACGGCCCUAUGGGUUGUAAACUGCUUUUAUAAGGGAAUAAAGUGAGUCUCGUGAGACUUUUUGCAUGUACCUUAUGAAUAAGGACCGGCUAAUUCCGUGCCAGCCGCCGCAGUAA